CAAUAGCGUAUAUUAAAGUUGUUGCAGUUAAAAAGCUCGUAGUUGGAUUUCUGAUCGAGACAUCAGGUCGGGUCCGAGAGGAUCAUGUACUUUGAUUUUGUUUUGAUCAUCCUUGGGGAGAGCAUUUCUGGCAUUCAGUUGUCGGGAUUGGGAUCCUCAUCGUUUACUGUGAAAAAAUUAGAGUGUUCAAAGCAGGCCUCGGCCUCUGAAUACAUUAGCAUGGAAUAAUAAGAUAGGACUUUGGUGGUCUAUUUUGUUGGUUUGCACGCCAAAGUAAUGAUUAAUAGGGAUAGUUGGGGGUAUUCGUAUUCAAUUGUCGGAGGUGAAAUUCUUGGAUUUAUGGAAGACGAACUACUGCGAAAGCAUUUACCAAGGAUGUUUUCAUUAA
rnacentral:rRNA from 1 species